rnacentral:lncRNA from 1 species
UGGCAAAAUGCCAGGCGCCAUCUUGACUUGUUUACAGACUCUAACACUUUUUUGUUCCUGAUUCUCCCUUUGCAACUAAACAACCAACGACAAGAAGGAAGAAGGCAACCAGUGAAACCCUCCCAUCAUAAAGACCCCCUUCAUGGCGCAUUCUCAGCAGGAAACAGCUUGGAGAUUUCAUGGCCCACUUUUCCAUAGAAAAAGGUAGAAAUCGACGGGGGGGAAUAUAACCAUGGUCCCCUUCACCUUCUCAUGGUAGCCCUCAUUGCUCUGAGGCUUAGUUUUUAAAAGAAUGUGUUUUUUCUCUGUUCUCCCCUGUCCCCUCCCUAGCAAGUUUAGGGACACAGUGUUAAUGUUCUCCCCUAGUUAAUUUCCCUCAACACACCCACUACAGGAAGGAGCUGCCUGCUGAGGAUCUGGGAAGUGAGUAUCUCCCCAAUCAAUAAGUGAAUCCUAACACACCAUCCGGCAUUCUGGGACCCCCUACCAGAGCCCACCUGGAAUGUUACCCUUGAAGAGUUCCUCUAACCCCCCCAUGUCCCUCCUGAUGGCGAGAAUCACAGCCUCUGGGACAGGAGUCCCCUGUGUUUCUCCUUUGCUAGCAAAGCAAGAAACCUUCUUUUUUUCCUUUUUCUCAAAAUCCUGUCCUUGUUUUUGGAUUGGCAUCGGGGACAAAGACCAAGCUUUCAGUUACAUCACUACAAAAAUCAUUAUUAGAAAGCGAUAAACUGGGCAGGUGGUGCACACCUGUAAUCCCACAGGCUCCGGCGGCUGAGGCAGGAGAAGGGCAAAUUCAAAGCCAGCCUCAGCAGCUUCGCAAGGCUCUAAGCAACUAAGUGAGACCCUGUUUCAAAAUUUAAAAAAGGGGAGGGGGAGCUACGGAUGCAGCUCAGUGGUUAAGCACCCGGUUUAAUCCCCAGGACGAGAGGAAGGAAGGAAGGAAGGGAGGGAGGGAGGGAGGGAGGGAGGGACGGAGGGAGGGAGGGAAGGAAGGAGAAGAAGAGAAAUACAAACUAAAGCGAAGCAAGCGAGGAGAUUCCCCGGAGGAUGCAGCCCCCGUAGGCCCACAAAGACCAGCUGUAGACCCGAGCCCCCACCCCCACCCCGCGCAGGCAGUGCCUGAGCUCAGGUCCCCGCUGCCAGUUCCCACAAGCCCCGCUUUCCCAGAAGGAGCCAGCAGGCCUCUGGGCCCUGGGCCAUCUGGGCACCUGCGGUGUCUGCCCCUGCACGCCUGCCCACCGCUGGCCAGCACACCUGGGAGUGCCUGGGGCCUUCCCAGGCCUGGAAGGAGCAGAUAAGGUGUGACAGUGCCUGGCUGUUCUUAGGGAGAGGGGUUUUCCGAUGAGAACGGCCCUCCCCCUUCUCUCCCAUCCCCUCUGCACCAGCCUGGAGCCUGGAGGGGUGUCCCCGCCACACACACACUGCACAGCGGGCUACGGCUGAGAACCAGGGAGGAAGAGGCUAGCCAAGGCCAGGGGCCAAGGUGGGAAAUCUCUUUGACUCCUCCCCAGGCUGCCAUGGCCCCGAGUUCAAUCCCAGCUCCACUGUUCCCACACAGUGUGCCCAUCACCACCCUCACCACCCCCACUUUUAAUUGAGGUGUGAUUCACAUACCUAACAUUCACCUUUUCAAGUAUAGUUUAAAUAUAUUCACUUAACUUCCUGAUUUGAGGACAUUGUCAUCACUCGGGAAAGACGCUCUAUACCCAGUGUCCGUCACGUCCUGCCUGCUGCCCGCCCCCAGCCCUGGGCAGCCCCUGCCUUUCCUAGGCUUGCCCAUUCUGGAGAUUUCAUACAAAUUAAAUCAAAUAAUAUGUGGCCUUUCGUGGGUUGGUUUUGUUGUUUGUUUUGUUUUGUUUUUGAGGUACUAUUACCGAAAACCUUGUCCUUGUCCCCAGUGCCAAUCCAAUCACAAGCCCAUGGUUUUGAGAAAAAGGAAACAAGAAGAUUUAUUGCUUUGCUAGCAAAGGAGAAACACAGGGGACUCCUGACCCAAAGACUGUGACUCUGCCCUUCAGCAGGAACAGAGGGCUUUUAAAGAUUCAAAGACUAUGUUCCACCCAUCCUCCGCUGGAGUUGUGAUUCUAUUGUUAAUUAAUCAGAGAGAGUCAUUUCUGAGGUCUUCGUGCCAUCCCCAAAAGUCUGGAUCACUUUGUUCCUGUGGUGGGUGUGUGCUCAAGGACAGAGAAAUCUGCCCAGGAGGGGAAAAAGGUGAUCCUGUUUCCUCUGAGAUCAGGGAUGGGGAGAGACAGGGGAAGAGAAAGAACCACGUUGUGAGGAUGGCCUUGGACCUGUGCCUAGCAACUCCAUUUUAAAACUCCAGUUUGAAACCUGCAGUCUCACCAGGCUCACCUAAGGGAACCCUCCAGUGUGGCCCUCAGGCCCAAACAAGUCCCUUCUCCCCACCCUCAUAAACCCAGAGUGAAGCCUCUGGCAGGCUGUCCUCCCCCCAGAUAAGGGGGAGAGGUGGGAAGAUCAGGGUGGGGCCACCAGGCCAGAUGUUUUAACUCCAGGGUAAAUGAGGACACUGAGAGACCUGGUGGCAGCUGAUAAGGACUGAAAGGGGGGGUCAAAAGCCCCCAAAUUUGGUAUAAAUAGUGGAGCCAAUGAACAGACACUCAGCCAGCCGACACUGGUGCCCUCAUGCUGAGAGCCUGGUGAGGACCUGUGCUGACAUCCCAGCUCUUCUCAUCGUUUGCUGAUCCUCUGCGUCUUCCUCACGGGUCUCAAACUUUCCAGCCACAUCUUGACCCUGGUGACAGCCGCAACUUCCCCCUAGGACCCUCUCCUCAGCCAGCCAUCAGCUCCACCCCGGGAGAAGCCUGCCUUGGUUCCUGACCUGAUCACGGGGUCUGAGUGAGUGUGCAUCUGCUGGACUAGAGCCUAAGGCUUGAGACUUUAGAUCUGACACUUGAGCUUAGCGGGCAGAGGAAAUGUCUGUCAAGAGUCUGUCAUGAUUAAGAGUGUUUGCAGGGCUUAGAAUUCAUCUAGAAUUGUUUGCUGUGGAUUGAUUAAUCUAGAAUUGUUUGCUGUGGAUUGAUUAUGUCUACUGCAGUGCCUAGCAUUAAGGAUGGUCGUUUCCUUGAUUAAGAACCUAGAGACUGAAAUUGUAUUGAGUGAUUUGAGUGAAUAAAGCAUUGGAAGGGGCAGAAGCACGUGGACAUU